GAUGAACGCUAGCGGCGGGCUUAAUACAUGCAAGUCAAGGGGUAGCAAUACACCGGCGUACGGGUGCGUAACGCGUAUGGAACCUGCCCUUAUCUGGGGGAUAACUCGGGGAAACUCGAGCUAAUACCGCAUAAGAUAGUAGAGAGGCAUCUCUUAGCUAUUAAAGAUUUAUCGGAUAAGGAUGGCCAUGCGUAAGAUUAGAUAGUUGGCGAGGUAACGGGUCACCAAGUCUACGAUCUUUAGGGGCUCUGAGAGGAGAAUCCCCCACACUGGCACUGAGAUACGGGCCAGACUCCUACGGGAGGCAGCAGUAGGGAAUAUUGGGCAAUGGGCGGAAGCCUGACCCAGCCACGCCGCGUGCAGGAAGACGGCCCUCUGGGUUGUAAACUGCUUUUAACUGGGAAGAAAGCAGCUCAUGCGUGAGAAUUUGACGGUACCAGUUGAAAAAGCCCCGGCUAACUUCGUGCCAGCCGCCGCAGUAAGAC
rnacentral:rRNA from 1 species